rnacentral:rRNA from 1 species
UGGGGAAGUAAUUGCACAAUGGGGGAAACCCGUACGAUGCAGCGACGCCGCGUGGAGGAAGAAGGUCUUCGGAUUGUAAACUCCUGUUGUUGAGGAAGAUAAUGACGGUACUCAACAAGGAAGUGACGGCUAACUACGUGCCAGCAGCCGCGGUAAAACGUAGGUCACAAGCGUUGUCCGGAAUUACUGGGUGUAAAGGGAGCGCAGGCGGGAAGACAAGUUGGAAGUGAAAUCCAUGGGCUCAACCCAUGAACUGCUUUCAAAACUGUUUUUCUUGAGUAGUGCAGAGGUAGGCGGAAUUCCCGGUGUAGCGGUGGAAUGCGUAGAUAUCGGGAGGAACACCAGUGGCGAAGGCGGCCUACUGGGCACCAACUGACGCUGAGGCUCGAAAGUGUGGGUAGCAAACAGGAUUAGAUACCCGUGU